ensembl:lncRNA
CAGAGGCCUUGAUAGUCAACAAGUGUAGUCAUAGAGUGCUACCGACUUUUCCCCUGAUACUCACGAACUGUCUUCAAGACACCUCCAAGGACACCAUUCAUGUCUACUCUAUUACUGUGAAAAUGCGUCAGCCAGCAAAACCAUGUAUUGUGCAACUUCCUGUUGCUCAAGCCACGAUGAAGAAAGGGAAAUAUUGUCACUCCAUUUGCCAUGAAGAUACAAUCAAUUGACAUAAAAGAGCGGAAGCAGCCACUCAGAAGUCUUCAGAAGUUAAGGUCAUGUCUGUGGUGGAAACGCCUGAUGCAGUUCUUAAGUGUCAAAGCACUGAAUGGAAAUGUUAGUGAAGUGCUGAGCAGACAGAAAUCAACCUCUAUCAAAGAAGCAGCACAUUUUGUGCUGGGAGAAAUUCUGAACACCUUACAGUAUGUGCCAUGCGGACCAAGAGAAGAUUACCAUAUCUCUGUAUUCACAGAACUAGUAACUAUCACAGUCCAGGUUGUCUGCCACUGCUCCAUGGUCCAUGCCAUGAUCCAGGUCCUAUCCCACUGUACAGGCCUGGCCCUCCUUCCCUCCCCCUAGACUGCCUCUGUUCCAUCACACUCCAAGAGUCUUGUUUGGGUUUUGUCUUCAUGUGGGUGUUCCUGCAGGGUGUCUGGAGUCACCCUUUCUUUUGGGGGGGGGGGGUAUGUAACAUUACUUUUGGGUUUUGUUUCAUGUUCAUUGUCUCUUUCAACUUAUUCAUGCUCUUAGUCUAGUUUCCUGGUUUGUCAUGUCAUGUGUUUCCCUUGAUCCUGCCAUGUGGUUUCUUUGUUGUCAUGUGUUCAUUGGUUGGAUUGUGUCAUGUGACACCUUUUUGUUUGAUAUAUAGCCCUCCUGUUGCCAUUGUGUCUUGUCUAGCUUUGUAACCUGCUGUUGGUGAGUUCUGUUCAUGGUCAUGUAAAGAUCUAGUUUAGUUCAUGUCGGUUUUGUAUCACCUUUUGGUUUGUUCUGUUUUGGUUUAUUAAUAAAAGCUGCACAAGGGUUCA